rnacentral:rRNA from 1 species
GUUGAACGCUGGCGGCAGGCCUAACACAUGCAAGUCGAACGGUAACAGGAAGCAGCUUGCUGCUUCGCUGACGAGUGGCGGACGGGUGAGUAAUGUCUGGGAAACUGCCUGAUGGAGGGGGAUAACUACUGGAAACGGUAGCUAAUACCGCAUAACGUCGCAAGACCAAAGAGGGGGACCUUCGGGCCUCUUGCCAUCGGAUGUGCCCAGAUGGGAUUAGCUAGUAGGUGGGGUAACGGCUCACCUAGGCGACGAUCCCUAGCUGGUCUGAGGGGAUGACCAGCCACACUGGAACUGAGACACGGUCCAGACUCCUACGGGAGGCAGCAGUGGGGAAUAUUGCACAAUGGGCGCAAGCCUGAUGCAGCCAUGCCGCGUGUAUGAAGAAGGCCUUCGGGUUGUAAAGUACUUUCAGCGGGGAGGAAGGCGAUAAGGUUAAUAACCUUGUCGAUUGACGUUACCCGCAGAAGAAGCACCGGCUAACUCCGUGCCAGCCGCCGCAGUAA